UACGUAGGGGGCAAGCGUUGUCCGGAAUUAUUGGGCGUAAAGGGCUCGUAGGCGGUUUGUCGCGUCGGGAGUGAAAACAUCCAGCUUAACUGGGUGCUUGCUUCCGAUACGGGCAGACUAGAGGUAUGCAGGGGAGAAUGGAAUUCCUGGUGUAGCGGUGAAAUGCGCAGAUAUCAGGAGGAACACCGGUGGCGAAGGCGGUUCUCUGGGCAUGAUCUGACGCUGAGGAGCGAAAGUGUGGGGAGCGAACAGGA
rnacentral:rRNA from 1 species